rnacentral:rRNA from 1 species
GAGUAACACGUGAGCAACCUGCCCCUGACUCUGGGAUAAGCGCUGGAAACGGCGUCUAAUACUGGAUAUGUGACCUGACCGCAUGGGCUGCGUUUGGAAAGAUUUUUCGGCUGGGGAUGGGCUCGCGGCCAAUCAGCUUGUUGGUGAGGUAAUGGCUCACCAAGGCGUCGACGGGUAGCCGGCCUGAGAGGGUGACCUGCCGCACUGGGACUGAUACACGGCCCCCACUCCUACUGGAAGCAGCCCCGGGGAAUAUUGCACGAUGGGCCAAAGCCUGAUGCUGCAACGCCACAAGAAGGAUGACGGCCUUCGGGUUGUAAACCUCUUUUUCUCAGGAAGAAGCGAAAGUGACGGUACCUGCAGAAAAAGCGCCGGCUAACUACGUGCCAGACAGCCGCGGUAAUACGUAUGGCGCAUGCGUUAUCCGGAAUUAGUGGGCGUAAAUAGCUCGAAGGCGGUUUGUCGCUCCUGCUGUGAAAUCCCUACGCUCAACCUCCGGCCUGCAUUGGGUACGGGCACACUAUAGUGCGGUAGGGGAGAUUGUAAUUCCUGUUGUACCGGUGGAAUGCGCAGAUAUCAGGACGAACACCGAUGGAGAAUGCCGAUCUGUACGACGAGGCUGUCUCUGACGAGUUAAUCGGCGGGGAGCAAACCCGCUUAGAUACCCUGGUACUCCACCCCUGACACGUUGGGAACUGUUCCUCCGGUCCUUUCCACAUAUUCCGUCACGCAGCUGAAUUAUUAAGUUCCCCGCCUGGGGAGUACCGGCGCGUGGCUACUGCUCAACGAUUGACGGCGACCCGAUUUAGCGGCGGAGCAUGCAGACUGACUACGAUGCUAUGUACACCACCUAUAUUCCAGGAUUAGACAUUGUACGCAGUACGGUUCACAACUGCUGCAGG